AUUUGCCUUUUAAUUGGAGGCUAGUAUGAACGGAUAAACGAGAAUAUGGCUGUCUCACUACCAGUAAUGAAAAUUAACCUUCAAGUGAAGAGGCUUGAAUUGUAUAAAAAGACGAAAAGACCCUAUGGAGCUUUACUUACAUAGAGAACGAGGCACAAUAAAAAACUGCCAAACUCCUAAAUAGUUCAGUUGGGGCGACUGAGGAGCACUAUUAAAGCCCCCUCAACACACAAGAAAAUAAAUCUAUUAAAAAUCCACAAACGUGAAUAAAGAAUCAGCUACCCUAGGGAUAACAGGCUAAUCCUUCUCGAGAGCCCAAAUUGACAGAAGGGGUUGGCACCUCGAUGUUGGCUUAAGGUACCUCUAAAGUGCAGCAGCUUUAGUAGUAGGUUUGUUCAACCUUUAAAACCUU
rnacentral:rRNA from 1 species